AUUGAACGCUGGCGGCAGGCCUAACACAUGCAAGUCGAGCGAGCGGCGGACGGGUGAGUAAUGUAUGGGGACUGCCCGAUAGAGGGGGAUAACUACUGGAAACGGUAGCUAAUACCGCAUACUAUCGGAUAACCCAUAUGGGAUUAGCGAGUAGGUGGGGUAAUGAAUCACCUAGGCGACGAUCCCUAGCUGGUCUGAGAGGAUGAUCAGCCACCUUGGGAUUGAUACACGGCCCAUACUCCUACGGAGGCAGCAGUGGGGAAGAUUGCACAAGGGGUGCAAGCCUGAUGCAGCCAUGCCGCGUGUAUGAAGAAGGCCCUAGGGUUGUAAAGUACUUUCAGUCGGGAGGCGUUACCGACAGAAGAAGCUCCGGCUAACUCCGUGCCAGCAGCCGCGGUAAUAC
rnacentral:rRNA from 1 species